UGAGCUCGACAAAUAAAAAUAGAUCUGCCUAAACUGAGGCUCCGCCCCUCGGAAGAACCAACCAAUCAGAGCUUAAAAAGGGCGUUGUGUGGCAACCAGCUGAGAAAGAGAGCAGCAACCAGCAAACAAAGGGAGUUAGCCAGCUAGAGAGCCGGAGGAGGAAGCAGAAGAUGGGGGGAUGGGAGGUGGUGGAGGAGGAGAGAAAACAGAGAGAGAGGGGGGAGGCUCAGCUGUUUUGCUGGUCAGGCAGACAGGGGGAGGAGGUGUUAGGGGUAUGAGUGGGGGUUUAAACGUGAUGUAUUAGCUAGCUAGCUGUGUUUAGAGACAGAGAAGUGCUGGAGAACAGGUGUGGAAGAACGCAGCAGCAGGCUAGCUAGCUAUAUGCUAUGCUGUGCUAAGAACAUGGCCGCGGAUUGUGACUCCGGGGCCCUGUGGCUCCACUUUUCUGGGUGACAAUGUGGUUUGAGGAGUUAAAUGGACGAACAACUUUGGAAAAUAAGGUGUCCCAAUAUCAUGCAAGCUGACCAAGUGACCUUGCAUAUUGUAAAGGUGUGGGCUUUCACAAACUGCUCCCUUGAGGUCAAGGAUGUUUCGGUUGCAGAAGGAUGACAUACCCAAUAUUAGACAGACCCCAGGGAAACAGAGCGAUCAGCGUGGCUGGAUUGGUGAGGCCUUGGGGGAUUCCGUCCUCUGCUCAGAGCGGUCCAGGUGUGUUUUUAUGUAAAAUGCUUGAGAACUACAUCACUGA